GGCGUACGACAUUUAUUCAAACUGAAAAAACAAAACUGUAAAUAUCGUUAUGUGUGAAUUUUUUAUGAAUUAUUACGUAAUUAAUAUAGGUUCGAAAGAAUAAGUAACUAAUAUUAGGUUUCGAGCGUUGAUCAAACAACAACAAAAUAUCUUCUAACUCCUCUGGUAGUCCUACGUAGCUCGACCCAUGGUUCCACCUGUACAAGAAAUAUGUUAGUCGAAACGUAUAAUAAAAAAAUUACUAUACAGACUACGUAUUUGUUAAUAAAUGAUGUUUACCUUGUCACCAAUGAGAAAAUAUAUGGGUCGGUCACCUUGGGACAUAGAAACAAUAGUCAC
rnacentral:lncRNA from 1 species